UACGUAGGGUGCGAGCGUUGUUCGGAUUCAUUGGGCGUAAAGGGUGCGUAGGCGGCGCGGUAAGUCGGGUGUGAAAUCUCGGGGCUUAACUCCGAAACUGCAUUCGAUACUGCCGUGCUUGAGGACUGGAGAGGAGACUGGAAUUUACGGUGUAGCGGUGAAAUGCGUAGAUAUCGGGAGGAACACCAGUGGCGAAGGCGAUCACCUGGGGUUGUUCUGACGCUGAGGAGCGAAAGCUAGGGGAGCAAACGGG
rnacentral:rRNA from 1 species